CUGGUUCGGGCUUAUGCUGUAGGUAGGCAACAGGUGUAAAGGACCAAGUGAAAGCCCGCAGCUCUCACUCGCACAAGCGCCGCCCACGGCCUGUAGGGUGCGCUCUUCUAGGUGCCAGCCCAACUCCCGUCGGUUUGCGCCUGCGCGGAGCUUUGGGGGCGCGGCGAGGGAGCAAGGCCUCUGCGAUUGCGCAUUGAAGGACUAAGAUGAUGGCGACGGCUGUGCGGCGGGGCUGGAGUUUUGCGGCUGCUGCCGCCGGGCGGCGCAGGCGAUUCUGUCACAUGAUGAAUGCAUAUAUCAUCAAGAAACGACCUCUGCAUCAAUUUGUACGAAGACCACUCUUCCCAUUACCUGCAGCCUUAUGUAACACAGUAAGAUACAUGUUUAUUCAAACCCAAGAUACCCCAAACCCCAACAGCUUAAAGUUUAUACCAGGAAAACCAGUUCUUGAGACAAGGACCAUGGAUUUUCCCACAGCAGCUACAGCAUUUCGUUCUCCUCUGGCUAGGCAAUUAUUUAGAAUUGAAGGAGUAAAAAGUGUCUUCUUUGGACCAGAUUUCAUUACUGUCACAAAGGAAAAUGAAGAAUUAGACUGGAAUUUAUUAAAACCAGAUAUUUAUGCAACAAUUAUGGACUUCUUUGCAUCUGGCUUACCCCUAGUUACUGAGGAAACAUCUUCAGGAGAAGCAGGUUCUGAAGAAGAUGAUGAAGUUGUGGCAAUGAUUAAGGAAUUGUUAGACACUAGAAUACGGCCAACUGUGCAGGAAGAUGGAGGAGAUGUGAUCUAUAAAGGCUUUGAAGAUGGCAUUGUACAGCUGAAACUCCAAGGUUCUUGUACUAGCUGUCCCAGUUCAAUCAUUACUCUGAAAAAUGGGAUUCAGAACAUGCUGCAGUUUUAUAUUCCGGAAGUAGAAGGUGUAGAACAGUUUCCUUCCAUUGGGAUCUGAUGGGAUGCCUGGGAUUAUAUCAACCUUUUUGUAUUUGCUAAGACUUAUACUGUGACCUAGAAUAUGGUCUGUUUUGGAAAAGAUUCCAUGAGCUGCUGAAAAUAAGGUAAUGGAUGAUGAAUCAGAUGAAAAAGAAGCAAACUCACCAUAAAAUAAUAUGGCAUUUCUUUGAGUACAACAAUUGGACUUAUUGAUAAUAUAUACCAAGCUGUUGUUAUUAAUAUGCUAAGGAACUUGAGGAGUAAUAAAAAAUGCCCAUUCCUCAGAGAAUGAUA